ACGGGUGAGUAACAUUUAGGAAUCUGCCUAGUAGUGGGGGAUAGCUCGGGGAAACUCGAAUUAAUACCGCAUACGACCUACGGGUGAAAGGGGGCGCAAGCUCUUGCUAUUAGAUGAGCCUAAAUCAGAUUAGCUAGUUGGUGGGGUAAAGGCCUACCAAGGCGACGAUCUGUAACUGGUCUGAGAGGAUGAUCAGUCACACCGGAACUGAGACACGGUCCGGACUCCUACGGGAGGCAGCAGUGGGGAAUAUUGGACAAUGGGGGCAACCCUGAUCCAGCCAUGCCGCGUGUGUGAAGAAGGCCUUUUGGUUGUAAAGCACUUUAAGCAGGGAGGAGAGGCUAAUGGUUAAUACCCAUUAGAUUAGACGUUACCUGCAGAAUAAGCACCGGCUAACUCUGUGCCAGCAGCCGCGGUAAUACAGAGGGUGCGAGCGUUAAUCGGUAUUACUGGGCGUAAAGCGAGUGUAGGUGGCUCAUUAAGUCACAUGUGAAAUCCCCGGGCUUAACCUGGGAACUGCAUGUGAUACUGGUGGUGCUAGAAUAUGUGAGAGGGAAGUAGAAUUCCAGGUGUAGCGGUG
rnacentral:rRNA from 1 species